GUUGGUUAAGAUGGACUGCACGAG
rnacentral:siRNA from 1 species